AAAAUAUGACAAUAUUGUUUUAAUGCAUAUUUGUAUCAUGAACUAACAUAUGAUUAUGGUCAGAGAAGUUUGGAACCUUGUUUGUCUUCGUUUCUCUAAAAUAACGAUUUUAUUGUCGUUUGCUACUGAUUUAAGGAACAUAUGAAGUUUUACUAAAUUAACUGAUAAAAAAUAGAACCAUGCCCAUGUUCUAUGAAAGAGAGUUUAGAGUACAUUAAUACAAAUGUAGAAUAUGGUUAGAAAUUUUAAAACAACAGUGAAGAUUAUAGGCUUAAAUAUAUUAACCAUUUACCGAAAAUCAACACAUAGAUUUUGAGAAAAAUUCAAAAAAAAAUGACAAUAUUGUUUUAAUGCAUAAUUGUAUCAUGACCUAACAUAUGAUGAUAGCCUGAUAAGUUUGAAACCUUUGUUGUCUCUCUUACUCUAGAAUAGGGAUUUUAUUGUGGUUUGUCCACCGAUUUGGGGAGCAUAUGAAGUUUUACUAAAUUAAUUGAUAAAAAAAAUAGAAUGAUGCCCAUGUACAAUGAAAGAGAGUUUAGAAUACAUUAAUACAAAUGUGUAAUGUGGUUAGAAAUUUUAAAACAACACUAAAGAUUAUAGGCUUCAGUAUCUUAACCAUUUACCGAAAAAC
rnacentral:lncRNA from 1 species